CGGACGGGUGAGUAACGCGUGGAAAACCUGCCGUAUACUGGGGGAUAACACUUAGAAAUAGGUGCUAAUACCGCAUAAGCGCACAGCUUCGCAUGAAGUGGUGUGAAAAACCCUGGUGGUAUACGAUGGUUCCGCGUCUGAUUAGCUUGUUGGUGGGGUAAUGGCUCACCAAGGCGACGAUCAGUAGCCGGCCUGAGAGGGUGAACGGCCACAUUGGGACUGAGACACGGCCCAAACUCCUACGGGAGGCAGCAG
rnacentral:rRNA from 1 species